UUCUUCAUCCUCAUGCUGGUCUUCAUCUCUGUUCCACUAACCAAUUCGAUACCCUUUAUUGUUCUUCAUGGUAUUGGAGAUCAGUGCUCCAACCAUGGGGUGGCACAAUUUACUGAACUACUGUCCAAAUACUCUGGUGCUAAAGGAUAUUGCUUAGAGGUUGGUGAUGGAACAUGGGAUUCUUGGUUUAUGCCUCUGCAGGAGCAG